rnacentral:rRNA from 1 species
UAGGGCGUAAGCGCGCGCAGGCGGCUUCUUAAGUCUGAUGUGAAAUCUCGGGGCUCAACCCCGAGCGGCCAUUGGAAACUGGGGAGCUUGAGUGCAGAAGAGGAGAGUGGAAUUCCACGUGUAGCGGUGAAAUGCGUAGAGAUGUGGAGGAACACCAGUGGCGAAGGCGACUCUCUGGUCUGUAACUGACGCUGAGGCGCGAAAGCGUGGGGAGCAAACAGGAUUAGAUACCCUGGUAGUCCACGCCGUAAACGAUGAGUGCUAGGUGUUAGGGGUUUCGAUGCCCGUAGUGCCGAAGUUAACACAUUAAGCACUCCGCCUGGGGAGUACGGCCGCAAGGCUGAAACUCAAAGGAAUUGACGGGGGCCCGCACAAGCAGUGGAGCAUGUGGUUUAAUUCGAAGCAACGCGAAGAACCUUACCAGGUCUUGACAUCCUUUGACCACCCAAGAGAUUGGGCUUCCCCUUCGGGGGCAAAGUGACAGGUGGUGCAUGGUUGUCGUCAGCUCGUGUCGUGAGAUGUUGGGUUAAGUCCCGCAACGAGCGCAACCCUUGAUCUUAGUUGCCAGCAUUGAGUUGGGCACUCUAAGGUGACUGCCGGUGACAAACCGGAGGAAGGUGGGGAUGACAUCAAAUCAUCAUGCCCCUUAUGACCUGGGCUACACACGUGCUACAAUGGAUGGUACAAAGGGCAGCGAAACCGCGAGGUGAAGCCCAUCCCAUAAAGCCAUUCUCAGUUCGGAUUGCAGGCUGCAACUCGCCUGCAUGAAGCCGGAAUUGCUAGUAAUCGCGGAUCAGCAUGCCGCGGUGAAUACUUUCCUCCGCGUCUUGUACACACCCGCCCCCGUCAUCA